GACGAACGCUGGCGGCGUGCUUAACACAUGCAAGUCGAACGGAAAGGCCCUGCUUUUGUGGGGUGCUCGAGUGGCGAACGGGUGAGUAACACGUGAGUAACCUGCCCUUGACUUUGGGAUAACUUCAGGAAACUGGGGCUAAUACCGGAUAGGAGCUCCUGCUGCAUGGUGGGGGUUGGAAAGUUUCGGCGGUUGGGGAUGGACUCGCGGCUUAUGAGCUUGUUGGUGGGGUAGUGGCUUACCAAGGCUAUGACGGGUAGCCGGCCUGAGAGGGUGACCGGCCACAGGGGGAGUGAGACACGGUCCGGAGGCCUACGGGAGGCAGCGGCGGGGAAUAUUGGGCAACGCGCGAGAGCCUGAUCGAGUCCUGUCGCGUGGGUGAAGAAGGCCUUCGGGUGGUAAAGCCCGUUUGUUGGGAUAGAAAAGCAGCAGGUUAAUACCCCGCUGUUAUGACGGUACCCAAAGAAUAAGCACCGGCUAACUUCGUG
rnacentral:rRNA from 1 species